CAACAAUAAACUAUCUCAAGGUAAAAAGUUAAUUAUCAUGGAAAUUUGAAGACUGAUUUUCCCAAACUUUCUAAGUUUUAUUCACUUUUAACUAGUCUCUUUUAUUGAAAAAAACAGAAAAUAUCGGGCAGCUCCUGUGGCUCAAGGAGUGGGGCACCGGCCCCAUAUACCAGAGGUGGUGGGUUCAAACCCAGCCCCAGCCAAAAACAAGAAAAAAAAAAAAAGAAAAGAAAAGAAAAUACGGCUCAGUGCCCAUAGCACGGUGGUUACAGCGCCAGCCAAAUACACUGAAGGUGGCGGGUGGCGGGCUCAAACCUGGCCCGGGCCAACUAACCAACAAUGACAACUGCAACAAAAAAGAGCCCAGCAUUGUAGCAGGCACCCGUAGUCCCAGCUACUUGGGAGGCUGAGGCAAGAGUAUUGCUUAAGCCCAAGAGUUUGAGGUUGUUUGACACCAUAGUACUCUACUGAGGGAGACAUAGUGAGACUCUGUCUCAAAAAAAAAAGAAAGAAAGAAAAAGGGAAAAAAAAAAGAAUAAAUUUUCACAUAUUUUAAAUAAAAGAAAAAAUGAUUUUGUAGAAACAAAGUAAAAUUUGUAAAUUAAAAAAUAUUACAGAAGGAGGCACCGUAGCUCAGUGGGCAGGGUGCCAGCCACAUACACGGAGGCUGGUGGGUUAGAACCUGGCUGAGGCCAGCUAAAACAAUAAUGAGAACUACUACAACAACAAGAGCUCGAGGUUGCUGUGAGCUGUUGUGACACCACAGCACUCUACUGAGGGCAACAGAGUGAGACUGUCUCAAUAAAAACAAACAAACAAAAAAAUAAAACCCCUAUAACUGACCACCUCCCUUGAGUUGAACUAAUUUUCAAGGACAUGGAUCACAUGUACGUAUAGAUACAAUAGGCCUGGUUCCUUAUGUUAGCCACCUCUGUAUGUUGAUCAGUUUGUUACAGUUCCUUGGGUGGUCAGCUUACAGAGGUUCUACUGUAUUUAUGUGUCCAUACAGGAGUCAAAAAUAAAUUAAAAAUAGUAGCAGUGAUAUUUAAGAAACUGGAGAAAUUGGUCCUCUGCCACUAUCUUGCUUUCCUUUAAUACGGUGGUGACCGCAGGUCGGAGCAAUCUGUAACCAUGAAGCUGCUAACCAGAGCUGUAUCCUUUUUGAGAUUUUAUUCCCUCAACGUUGCCCCCAAAGUUAAAGCCACAGCUGCCCCUGCAGGAGCACCUCCUCAUCCUCAGGACCUUGAGUUCAUCAAAUUACCGAAUGGUUUAGUGAUUGAUUCCUUGGAAAACUAUGCUCCCGUAUCAAAGAUUGGUUUGUUCAUCAAAACAGGCAGUAGACAUGAGGACUCUAACAAUUUAGGAACCUCUCAUUUGCUGUGUCUUGCAUCCACUUUGACUACAAAAGGAGCUUGCCUUUCAAGAUAACUCGUGGAAUUGAAGCAGCUGGUGGUAAAUUAAGUGUGACUGCAACAAAGGAGAACAUGGUUUACACUGUGGAAUGCCUGAGAGAUGAUGUUGAUAUUCUAAUGGAGUUCCUGCUCUAUGUCACCACAGCACCAGAAUUUCGUUGUUGGGACCUUCAGUCUCAACUAAGGGUUGACAAAGCAACGGCUUUUCAGAAUCCACAGGCUCAAGUCAUUGAAAAUUUGCAUGCUGCGGCUUACCGGAAUGCCUUGGCUAAUUCUUUGUACUGUCUUGACUAUAGGAUUGGAAAAGUGACAUCAGAAGAGUUACAUUACUAUGUUCAGAAUCAUUUUACAAGUGCAAGAAUGGUUUUGGUUGGCCUUGAUGUGAGUCAUCCUAUUCUUAAGCAAAUUGCUGAACAGUUUCUCAUCAUGAGGGGAGGGCUUGGUUUAACUGGUGCUAAGGCCAGAUACCAUGGAGGUGAAAUUCGAGAACAAAAUGCAAACAGUCUUGUCCACGCUGCUCUUGUAGCAGAAAGUGCUGCCAUAGGAAGCACAGAAGCAAAUGCAUUUAGUCUUCUUCAGCAUGUGCUUGGUGCUGGACCACAUGUCAAGAGGGGCAGCAAUGCCACUAGCCUUCCAUACCAGGCUGUUGCCAAGGGAGUUACCAGCCAUUUGAUGUUUCUGCUUUUAAUGCCAGUUACUCAGAUUCUGGACUUUUCGGGAUUUACACUAUCUCCCAGGCUGCAGCUGCUGGAGAUGUUAUCAAGGCUGCCUAUAACCAGAUAAAAACAAUUGCUCAAGGAAGCCUUUCCAAUGCAGAUGUCCAAGCUGCCAGAAACAAGCUGAAAGCUGGAUACCUAAUGUCAGUGGAGUCUUCUGAGGGUUUCCUGGAUGAAGUUGGAUCCCAGGUGUUAGUUGCUGUACGUGCUGGUUCUUACGUGCCACCAUCCACAGUCCUUCAAGAGAUUGAUUCAGUGGCUUAUGAUGAUGUCAUAAAUGCUGCAAAGAAGUUUGUUUCUGGCCGGAAGUCAAUGGCAGCAAGUGGAAAUUUGGGACAUACACCUUUUGUUGAUGAGUUGUAAUACUGAAGCACAUAUUAUAAGAGAGAGCUGAAAGCCUACUAUAUUUACCUUUUCAAUAAGGCAAAAUACUUUAAAGUAUAAAUUAUUUCCAGCUGUUCUAGUCAGUUUAAAUGUUUUAAGUCAUUCUGCUUAAAUGUUAAAAAAAAAAAGAAACUGGAGAAAUUAUUUCUAACCAACAUACAUCCUCCCUAAUACUUUUUUUUUUUUUUUUUGUAGAGACAGAGUCUCACCUUAUGGCCCUUGGUAGAGUGCCAUGGCCUCGCACAGCUCACAGCAACCUCCAACUCCUGGGCUUAAGCGAUUCUCCUGCCUCAGCCUCCUGAGCAGCUGGGACCACAGGUGCCCACCACAACGCCCGGCUAUUUUUUGGUUGCAGUUUGGCCGGGGCCAGGUUUGAACCCGCCACCCUCGGUAUAUGGGGCCGGCACCUUACCGACUGAGCCAUAGGCGCCGCCCCCUCCCUAAUACUUUUAAAUCAUGUCUAGAUUGUAUAUAAUACUAAUACAACAUAAAUGCCAUGUUAGUAGUUGUACUAUGAUGUACAUUACAUUACAAGGGAAAAAGUCUAUACAUGUUCAGUACAGACAUGAGUAUCCUACUAAUUUACACUCUAUUUUACUUAUCUUUGAGCCAAAAUCUCACUGUCACCCUGAGUAGAAUGCCGUAGUGUCAAAGCUCACAGCAACCCCGAAUUCAUGGGUGCGAGCAAUCCUCUUGGCCCACCAUGAUGCCCCGCUAAUUUUUCUAUUUUUAGUAGAAAUGGGGUGUCGUUCUUGCUCAGGCUGAUCUGAAACUCCUGAGCUCAAGGAAUCCACCGGCCUUGGCCUCCCAGAGUGCUAGGAUAAUAGGUGUGAGCCACCAUGCCUGGUCUUUUUACUUUUUUUUUUGUCACCAGGGCUAGAGUGAAGUGGCAUCAUCAUAGCUCACUGUAGCUUCAAACUCCAGGGCUCAAAAAAUCCUUCUGCCUCGCUUUUAGGAUACAUUUGGUUGAAUCCAGGAUGCAAAACCCUCAGAUGCAGAGGGCAUACCUAUAAACCUCACAGCCUAGCCUGCCAAAUAUCUUUGAUUUCUUUUUCUUUCUUUUUUUUGGAGACAGAGUCUCACUACGUUGCCCUCCAUAGAGUACUGUGUCAUCACAGCUCAUGGCAACCUCAAAUUCUUGGGCUUAAGCAAUUCUCCUGCCUCAGCCUCACGAGUAGCUGGGACUACAGACACCUGCCACAACUCCCGGC